AUUGAACGCUGGCGGCAUGCCUUACACAUGCAAGUCGAACGGCAGCACGGGAGCAAUCCUGGUGGCGAGUGGCGAACGGGUGAGUAAUAUAUCGGAACGUGCCCAGUCGUGGGGGAUAACGUAGCGAAAGCUACGCUAAUACCGCAUACGAUCUACGGAUGAAAGCGGGGGAUCGCAAGACCCCGCGCGAUUGGAGCGGCCGAUAUCAGAUUAGCUAGUUGGUGAGGUAAAGGCUCACCAAGGCGACGAUCUGUAGCUGGUCUGAGAGGACGACCAGCCACACUGGAACUGAGACACGGUCCAGACUCCUACGGGAGGCAGCAGUGGGGAAUUUUGGACAAUGGGCGCAAGCCUGAUCCAGCAAUGCCGCGUGCAGGAUGAAGGCCUUCGGGUUGUAAACUGCUUUUGUACAGAACGAAACGGUCCUUUCUAAUACAAAGGGCUAAUGACGGUACUGUAAGAAUAAGCACCGGCUAACUACGUGCCAGCAGCCGCCGUAA
rnacentral:rRNA from 1 species